GGCUCAGGACGAACGCUGGCGGCGUGCUUAACACAUGCAAGUCGAACGGAGAUUUAGCAAUAGAAUCUUAGUGGCGAACGGGUGAGUAACGCGUAGGCAAUCUGCCUUCUAGAUGGGGACAACAUCCCGAAAGGGGUGCUAAUACCGAAUGUUGUAACGACUUCGCAUGAAGUUGCUACUAAAGGUGGCCUCUGAAUAUGCUACCGCUAGAAGAUGAGCCUGCGUCUGAUUAGCUAGUUGGAGGGGUAACGGCCCACCAAGGCUUCGAUCAGUAGCCGGUCUGAGAGGAUGAACGGCCACACUGGGACUGAGACACGGCCCAGACUCCUACGGGAGGCAGCAGUGGGGAAUCUUCCGCAAUGGACGAAAGUCUGACGGAGCAACGCCGCGUGAGUGAAAGAAGGUUUUCGGAUCGUAAAGCUCUUUCGUCAGGGACGAACGUGUUUCUUGUAAAUAAUGAGAGACAGUUGACGGUACCUGAAUAAGAAGCCACGGCUAACUACGUGCCAGCCGCAGC
rnacentral:rRNA from 1 species